CGAGGCACCAAAGUUUCAUUUAAACAGAAAUGAAACUUCUGGUUCUGCACAAACCUUUAAAGGCUGAACUACUCAGUAUCAAUAUUUGCAAAGCAAGACUACAGACAACAUCCACAUCCAAAAGAUAUGGCCACAUCCAGCAGUUACACGAAACCACGACAGAAGGUGUACAAGGAAAAAAUGGCUGAAUUGGAGACUGAAAAGAAAAAAAUGCAGGAGAUGAUUCAGCAGACACAAAACAAAGUUCAGAAGAUGAAAGUAGAGGUGCAGACAAAGAGGAAAAUCAGAGAUGCCUUGAUGAUUGAGGAUUCCGAGGUUUUCUUUAGUUUGAUGAGGUCCAUUCAAAGACGCCGGGCCGAGCUGGUUGACAAGCUCGAUGAGAAGCAGCAGGCAGUAGAAAGACUCUCUGAGAUAUCUGUCAAAAUGCUGCAAGAACAUGAAACUAAGCUUCAGAUAAGAUGCACAAAGUUGGAGGAACUCUCACAAACUGAAGAUGACUUUGAGUUCAUCAACACCUCUCCAACCGCCAAGGGCUCAUCUGACCUCAGCGCCAACAAUCACUCUUGUAUGGAGCUGAUGAGAAGAAAUCUGGCUGAGCUGGACACUCUCACUGAAGAGGUGAAGCGGAUUGAUAAAGAGGUCAGGGUAUGUUGGAGGAAAAUUCACAAACCAAACCUAAUCAAACUAUUGAUUAAGUUCAUCUCAACUGUUUUUGAAAACAUCAGGUUGAAGAUAAGACAACAACCCAAUGCUGUGGAAAUAGAGAUAAUCAUUUUUGUAUUUUCAAUGUUAGUAUGUUUCUGCUAUAUUCUAAAGACUAUCUUGAAAUUAAAUGAUAAUAAUACAAAAGGAGAAUAAUUUUAGUAAUCUAAUUAAUGUAUUUAACUGGUUUGACUUCCUGCUUGUCCAACUCCUUGAGGUCAUGUUUGUUGACUUCGUACGAUAAUUUUGCUCAUUGGAUUUGUGUCGAAGCUCCAACAGGAACAAACGUAGGAUUUUAGGGUUGCAAAUGUUUUUGACCAUUAGUCAGUAAAUAAAUAAAUGUUAGCUGACUUAAAGUUUGUAUAACUAAAUAUCAAACAACUCAUAUAUUUGAUCUUUGUUAUUGUGGGAGCAGCUCAUCCUUAGAGUCUGGAGUCUAGUCAACCUCAUGGAUCCCCGCAGAUUAUUAUGAUUAGUUAUACAAAUUAUUCCCCCCAGACGGAACACACAGGUGGAUGCUGGGGGGGGGCAGGCAGCCACAUUAAUGCAACAAUGUUGACAUUCACAGGCAGAGGAGGGCGUAAGAAAUUGAUUCUUUACAUACCCGGCUUUUACACAACUUUGUAUAAACUGAAUAACCAAUAUCGUCAGAACUGUAGAUGUUAAAACCCCGAAGAUAUCAGACUGAAAACAAUCCACUGUUGACCAGCUCUUUGCAAAGGAGCUGCUAAGGAAACCUUUCCUCUGUAAAAACGUUGUAAUUUUUUUUAAACAUGGAUAUGUGUUUCAUGAUUUACUUUUAUUUUUUUGUCUUGUAUCUAUGUAGUGUGCAUAUAUAAGAUUAAUAGCUCAUAUGCAGUAUAAUCAGCUUCUUUAGAACAAAUCUUUUUAUGCUGAUAACAAAUUAAUUCCACACAGUUUGGGCGUGAGGUUGGUGAAUUGCAAGAAUUUUUGUUAUGUUCAACGCCACCUUUGUUUGUCGGCAUGGUCGGCUAUUAGUUCAGAUUGUUAACUGCUAUAAAAA